CGUUGUCAGGCCAUAUUGUCUGGAAAUGCAGCCCUUAAGUAAUGCCAAAGCCUCUGAACUUAUGGGAAAUCUGAUGGAAUCUAGCUGAAGACAUAAACUAAGACUGACCUAGAGGUCAUUUCUUAUCGCUGACCUCUCCUGCUUCUCUCCCCUCAUUCAUUAUGGUUCUCUCCUUCCAACCCAUGCCCGCCCAUCAGCACACCCCCUUAAUCAGUGAAUCAACGAGUAUUUAUUAAGCUUCUACCACAUGCCAAGCCCUGGGGAUACAUACACAACGGAGCGAAAGAGGCCUACUUGUAAGGAGCUCACAUUCUAAGGGAGAGAAGACAAGUGUACAAAGACAGACAGCACAAAAUCAAAAUGAGGCUGAGCCAUCUACCUAGAGUCAUCUACCUGGAUUACAGUUAAACCCAGGAGAGCUCAAGAGGUCACCAAGAAGAAAACAGGGUCCAAGACGACAGAACCUUGGGGAACACUGGCAGUCAGAUGGCACAAUAUGGAUGAUUAGCCAUCAAAGAGCAGUCAGACAGGUCAGAGAACAGUGUCACAGUAACCGAGGUUUUAAGGUCCUUACUGGGAGGGCCCACGUCACAAACCAGUGCUCAUGCCCAUGGAGCUCCCAGAGCCAAGUCUGAAGAAGGUUCUCAAUCAGCACUUGUUGAAUUAAUCUCUUGCCCUUCAAAUGGGAAAUUACUUUUAUAAGUUCUCAGAAGCCACAGAACAAAAAGUAUUUUUCUGCAAGGAGAAGGAAUAAGAUCUAGAAGAUGAGUUUCAGACAAUGAACCUCCUCCAAGGACCUCAAUCCCUAUUCCCUGGAAGCAUGCCGGGAGAGUCUGAAUGUCAGAUACCCAACUAUACUACUCCACAUUGGUCCUUUUAAAGAAACCCAACCAACCUGAGGAAACAAAGCAUAGUUAAGACAUGUUGAGUUUGGCUUAGACAUUGAGACCGCUCUGUGGAUAGAGUAGAGAAGUGAGAAAAGAGUUACCUUGCCAGUUCCAGGAGGUCCUGCCAACAACACAGCUCUCCCGGCCAUCUUCUUGCUUUUGAUUAAUUCUACUAUCACACCACACGCCUGGACGCCACCAAAGGAAAAGAAACAGUAACAUCAACACUGAAACAUUUCACAAGAGGUUCAGGCUGUGGCUCAGGGAGAUGACAUGCAUAGGAAUUCUAUCGUGCAGUAGUCUUAACUAGUGGUUGAAUUUUGACAAAGCAAUAAUCAAUGUUCACUGUGAUAGAUAACAUGAAGCCACUACAGGACCCCAACCGAUUUUAAGUCCUCCACCAUGUGACACUCCUCACUGGGACACUGAGACCACGUGGGGAUCCUGAAGGCCAUGCUAAUGGAACCCAAGACCAGGCAGCUCACAGGACCAUGGGCUUGAGAGGUGGGAUGACCUGGUCACCUCAUUUUCUGAUGGGCCCAGAGAAGUGAGAGGAUUUGCCUAUGGGGUCACAAAAGCAAUUACUGGUCAAGGUGGGAAUCAACACUUGGUCCCCCAGGCCCAAAUCUAGCCCUUCUCCCACUAUGCCUCCCUACUCUGUCCUUCCUGGUGCUGUUUGUCCUUCGUUCUUGAGGAGGACCAUGGCAUGAGGAAGAUGAUGCCAUGACACUCAAGUGAACUGGAUUACAGUGAGGCAGGGCUGUGCAAAGUCACCAGCCUCACUUUCUCUCCAAAGCCAUCUGGGCCCAGUGGCCAGGUAGGGAUCGGGACAACUGGCCCAGGAUGCAGUGGGGGACCUUGGCCUUUUCAAGCUAAGGUCUUUAACAGGUCUCCGUUUGACUGAAGCAGCACCCAUACUGAGGGCACCCAAACAGCAAAGGGCUUCUGGAACACACCCAGUGACAGAGGGACUAAUGUUUGUACUCCAAGGCCAGUCUCAGUUCAGAAAGUCUCAUUACCAGGAGGAACCAGGUGAUAAAAUGGGGGGUGGACGUGGACACAACAACUCAUGGGGACUGUCUCCUUAUUAAGGCACAGAGGAGGCGUGAGGAGUGUCCAUAUGAUGAAAUCACAGCUCAGCUGAAGCACAGAGCCAAGUAUGAUAACAUGAGUCUAUGCACUUUAUGACUAGAAAUCACACACCUCCUUUCAACUCGGGAAGCAUGUUAUUAUAGCUUCUACUCCAAGGCAGACACGGCGACAGGCAUGGGACACAAAGGCAAGAAAUUCACUCGUCCUAGCCCCCGGAUUUUCCUCGAGGGAGGUCACCCACUUAACAGAUGAGGAAACAGGGAUGAAGUCCGGCAUUCAAGGGGGUGUGACUGUUUUAUCUUUAACUGAGCAGCCCAUGUACGGAAUGCCCCAGAACCCUCUAGCAUUCAGCUGUCUGGUUAACCAGGCCACGCCAUACCGCCACAUCGCUGUAACUUCUGACAAGUGACUGAAGCCCUGUUUGAUGUGCACAGCUUUCCUUAGCUGAGAGCAGCAGUAAGGGGUGGGGAAGGCACCAAACCAGAAACCCCAAGGUUUAGGCCUGGAUUUGGGCAAGCUCUCUCUGAGGCUCAGUUUUCUCAUCUGGAAAAUGAAGGGUUGGGUACAACACUUUUUUAAAGAUCAAUUUAAUUUGUGAAAAUUACAAUUCAUCGCUAGAACCUACUGGGCAUAUCUCCAUUGUGUUUGUUAUUCAGUAUGUUAGGGGAGCUUAGUGAGUUAGGGUCAC